rnacentral:lncRNA from 1 species
UAUACAGUGUGGUUACACUGGACACAGACAGACUCAAGUCCCAGGCAAGACAGCGUGAGUAUGCAUGAGAUUUGAUCACGUUGCUCAGAGCAGAGUGCAAUUAAGAGCAUUUGUUGAUUGUUUGCUGGAAAUUUGUGUCCCUGAAGAUGAGAUCUUCUUAACCUCAUAACAAACAUUUCCGGUUUGCAACGUGACUUGUUUUUUCACUUUGGGUACCUCUCAUCAACACAGAAUUGAGGUUAGAUUGUCUGUAUGAGUUCUUAGUUGUUGUGUUUCAAG